ensembl:snoRNA SNORD58 Small nucleolar RNA SNORD58
GUACAGUGAUGAAUAUCUUAGGACACCUUUGGAGGUCAUGACCAAUGAAACCACUUUUAUUCUGAGUACG